rnacentral:rRNA from 1 species
UACUCCUACGGGGAGGCAGCAGUGGGGAAUAUUGCACAAUGGGGGAAACCCUGAUGCAGCCAUGCCGCCGUGUGUGAAGAAGGCCUUCGGGUUGUAAAGCACUUUCAGUAGGGAGGAACGGUAGUGUAGUUAACACCUGCAUUAUUUGACGUUACCUACAGAAGAAGCACCGGCUAACUCCGUGCCAGCAGCCGCGGUAAUACGGAGGGUGCGAGCGUUAAUCGGGAAAUUACCUGGGCGUAAAGCGCAUGCAAGGCGGCCUGUUAAGUCAGAUGUGAAAGCCCGGGGCUUAACCUCGGAAUUGCAUUUGAAACUGGCAGGCUAGAGUCUUGUAGAGGGGGGUAGGAAUUUCAGGUGUAGCGGUGAAAUGCGUAGAGAUCUGAAGGAAUACCAGUGGCGAAGGCGGCCCCCUGGACAAAGACUGACGCUCAGAUGCGAAAGCGUGGGGAGCCAAACAGGAUUAGAUACCCCUGGUAG